UANNAUGCAGUCGACGAUGAUGGGAGCUUGCUCCUGGAUUAGUGGCGAACGGGUGAGUAACACGUGAGUAACCUGCCCUUAACUCUGGGAUAAGCCUGGGAAACUGGGUCUAAUACCGGAUAUGACUCCUCAUCGCAUGGUGGGGGGUGGAAAGCUUUAUUGUGGUUUUGGAUGGACUCGCGGCCUAUCAGCUUGUUGGUGAGGUAAUGGCUUACCAAGGCGACGACGGGUAGCCGGCCUGAGAGGGUGACCGGCCACACUGGGACUGAGACACGGCCCAGACUCCUACGGGAGGCAGCAGUGGGGAAUAUUGCACAAUGGGCGGAAGCCUGAUGCAGCGACGCCGCGUGAGGGAUGACGGCCUUCGGGUUGUAAACCUCUUUCAGUAGGGAAGAAGCGAAAGUGACGGUACCUGCAGAAGAAGCGCCGGCUAACUACGUGCCAGCAGCCGCGGUAAUACGUAGGGCGCAAGCGUUAUCCGGAAUUAUUGGGCGUAAAGAGCUCGUAGGCGGUUUGUCGCGUCUGCCGUGAAAGUCCGGGGCUCAACUCCGGAUCUGCGGUGGGUACGGGCAGACUAGAGUGAUGUAGGGGAGACUGGAAUUCCUGGUGUAGCGNNAAAU
rnacentral:rRNA from 1 species